rnacentral:misc_RNA from 1 species
CUCUGGAUGGUUGUUGUUUUGUGCUGGCAAUAUCACCGUGCCCAUCACUGCAUGAAGUGCACCCCCUCCCUGACACACGCGCACACACACACACCUCCGCUGCUUACCCGUAUUACCCCUUUUCUUCCUCCAUCAAGCAACAGCACGACAAGAUGCCUGCUGCAACGGCCGAGCCGCAGCCGUUUGAGUUCCCACCGGGCUACGUGAUGCCGCUGCCCACGCGUCCGAGCAAGAUGGACGAGGACACGCUGCACCCCGUGCGCGUGCCGACACCGCUGCCGGACCUGCUGCCGCGCAGCAUGAAGGACAUCCAGAAGAUGCGUAACCUGCAGUCCGACGGAGACACAGCCAAGAAGUACGUGCCACCGCGCCGCGACCUGCCGCCGCCGUACGUGAACGACGACGAGUGCGACGAGUUCGAGGACAAGACGAUCGACACGACCAUCCUGAACAUGUCGGAGAAGGACCGCACGAAGCGCAUGGGCCAUACCUACCAGUUAAACGGCCCCUCCGUUGAGGGCGACGUCACGCCGGUCUUCGAGAACGGCCUGCUCUUCAAGGUCGUGACGCCAGAUGGCUCUUGGUACUACUACAACGACACGGACAAGUACGAGAUGCAUGUGAAGUUCACCUUCGGCGCCAAGUCAGACCUGCAGCCCGGCGAAAAGGUCGACAUGUACGUUAUGAGCACAAGCGAGCUGUCCGCCUCCCUCGUCGUCUUCCCUGGGGAGACGACGAAGCUGGUAGCCGGCAAGAUCAACGGUUUCAAGUGCAGCGCCAAGGCCGUGCCACUGAACGACGACAAGCGCGACAUCCUCUACGGCGAAGUCAACGACCGCAUCGCCGACGACCUGAUGGUCAUGGCGCAGGCCAUCGGCGUGCGUGAGGACGACCUGACAGAGGAGAAGGUGCUGGCGUACUGCGAGGAGAACGAGAAGCCGUACAUCGACUGCGACUUCCGUCCGUGCGACUACUCGCUCUACCGCGCUGACGUGGACACGUACCUGCCGCGCUUCAUCCCGUGGCACCGCCCCUCCACCUGGAUCCCGGAGGAGCAGCUCAAGGAGGUGCGCCUCUUCCGCCGCGACAUCCUGCCGUCGCAAGUGACACACGGCUCCAUCGGCGACACCUACCUCGUCUCCGCCAUCGCCGCCCUGACCGACGCCAGCGGCGACCGGCUGCACGACCUCUUCCGCCACCCGGUGAGCGCCGCCAACGGCAAGAUCGAGCGUGCCCUCGGUGCCUACUGGGUCACGAUAAACUUCAACGGCUGGUGGCUGCCGGUGCUGCUGGACGACUUCCUGCCUGCGACGCGUGACGGCCCCGAGUUCGCGCGGUGCGCAGUGGACAUCCGGCGCAUGUGGGUGGCGCUGCUGGAGAAGACCUACGCGAAAGUGCACGGCUCCUACGCGAACAUCGCGAGCGGCGACCCGCUGGAGCCGCUGUCGGAGUUCACCGGCUUCCCAGUGACGCGCUACGAGAGCUUCUGGGAGGACGCGCAGGGCGGCGACGACAUGCUGUUUCAGGAGAUGCUGUCUUACAACAGGAUGGGUCACUUGCAGGUGCUCUGCACCCCGUCCGACGGUGGCGAGGCAUUCGGCAACGCGAACGUCGUCAGCGCCAACCCGGAGCUGGAGGCAACGUACGAGAAGAUGGGCCUCCUCCUGCACCAUGGCUACGCGGUUCUGCAGACGGAGUACUUCGAGGACCUGGACCUCCGUCUGCUGCGCGUCCGCAACCCGUGGGGCAACGGCUCUGAGUGGACCGGCGCGUGGAGCAAGGACGACAAGCGCUGGAGCAAGUACCCAUCCGUGCGCAACGCGUGCUACCGGCACGGCGGAAGCCCGACGGAUGCCGACCGCACGUUCUGGGUAGAGUGGAGCGACGCGCUGAAGAUCUUCUCCGGCGGUGGCUGCUGCCACCUGCGCACUCCGUGGUUCGACUACCGCGCCCGUGGCGAGUUCGCUCAGGGCAUCCCGACCGUCUCUUUCGAGGUCAACGUGUCCGCGCCGACGGAGGCCUACAUCACUCUCUCGCAGGAGGACGAGCGCGACGACCCGUCGCUGGAGUACCAUGCACUCCUGCUGAGCGUGUUCCGGCACAGCGGCAAGAAGGAGAAGCUGGACGCGACCAGCAACUCGCUUGUGGAGAAGCCGGACCGCCAGCUCAAGUUCAACUUCUCGCGCGACGUGGCGAUGAAGUACACCUUUUUGCCAGAGCACAGCCCGUACUUUGUCAUCCCCCGCAUCCACGACCCCAGCGUGACGAAGCCGUACGUGAUGGGCCUCCUGUGCGACACGUACGUUGGCAACGGCAUCAAGGUGGAGUUCAAGCGGGUGGACCGCAACUGCCGCGUCUUUGCUAACAUGCCGUCCUUUGCGCAGGCAGGAAUGAUGGAGGACACAGCUGCUGAGUACCAGAUCCGCACUCCACGGCAGCCGAUUGAGUGCAUCGGGGAGGAGAUCGUCGACGAGCGCCUGCGCGAGUUUGGCAUCCUGGAGGAGUAGGCUGCAGGGAGGGACUUGAUUGAAUGGGUGGUAGCCGUCUGUGGGCAAGAGCUGAGUCUCUGGCACACGCGCUUCUUCUGCAGGACAGCAGGCGAAGAAGUCGAAUGGACGCGUGGCGAGGCGUCUGUAUGCGUGGUCAUCGAUGCACACUUGUCAGUCUCAAUGCGCAUCCCUCGACCCUACCCGCCCACUCCCACAAUCCGUGUCCAUCACAGCUGCUCUUCCAUCCUUUCUCUCUUCUUUUGAGGCAUCCUUCGUUUGGCCUGCCGCCUCCGCAACGCCGUGCUGCCACCUACUCGCACUCGCUCUGUUUUCAUGUGGCUCCCCCUCCCCGCACCUAAUGAACUCUUGCAUGGGCACCGGCGAACUGUGCACACAUACCCGCACAAGCACUCUCCUUCGGUGUAUUCGUCUGUGCGAUGCUCACCACCUCUACGGAGCUCCCUGUUUACCGAGAGCUUCAUCGGUCUCUGGUGCUGCACAGGAUGAGGCUGCGAGUGCGUGAGGAAGUUUACUGUUGUGUAAUCGUCGACGUAUCGCCCACGCCUGCUUUUGCCCUCUCUUCUGAUUUCUGCCCCCUUUCCCCUUCCCUCUUCUGCAUCGUCCUUGCCGUUAUCCUUCGUUUUUUUUUUGUUGCUCGCUCGGCUCAUGUCGCUGUGGCUCCCCGUGUGCUGUGCGCUGUGCGUGUGUUGGCUGGAUGUUGAACGUCGACACGCAGAUGUGCUCGCAGUCCCUCCCCUGCCCUCAGCGACCCGUCUGCCUUUUGGGCCUCUUUUAUUCUUCCAUUUUCUUCCGUCUUGUGGGAGGACAACCCAAGGUGUGUGUGUGUGUGUGUGUGUGUGUUUGCGCGCGGACGCGCGCCAGUAGCUUCUCUCUCUUGUGCGCCCUUUUUGUUUGAAGAGGUGGGAUGCUCCUGCUGUUUCUGCUUUCGCGAACUCUACACGGUGUUCUCAGCUGCUACGUCGCCGUCGGAUCACUCCAGGAGGACAAUGCUGGAGUGACCUAUCCGGCACUUCGGCAAAGCCUCCGCCAUAUCGGCCCUCAGCAUGCCGUCGAAGAAGAGGGAAGAUGGACUUCACGAUGCUGCCAGGAGCGACACGGCAGCCGUCUCAUCAGCGCGCCUUUGGAACCCUUUCACAUCGCCUGUGCACACUGUGAAUGGUCGGUUGGCCACUCUCCCUUUACCUCCUCAAUCUCCAUCUGCGCACGUGCCGUGCACAUGGCUGCGACGAUAG